UACAGAGGGUGCAAGCGUUGUUCGGAAUUACUGGGCGUAAAGCGCGUGUAGGCGGUUGUCCAAGUUGGAUGUGAAAGCCUUGAGCUCAACUCAAGAAAUGCAUUCAGGACUGGAUGACUAGAGGACCGGAGAGGAUGGUGGAAUUCCCAGUGUAGUGGUGAAAUACGUAGAGAUUGGGAAGAACACCAGUGGCGAAGGCGGCUAUCUGGACGGUUUCUGACGCUAAGACGCGAAAGCGUGGGGAGCAAACAGG
rnacentral:rRNA from 1 species